CUCUUGAUUUCUUUGAUGUGAAACCCGACGCGGGAUCCGAAUAAGUAAUUCGGGUCACUUAUUGUUCCUUCCAUCAUACGUCUCUUCUCGAUCUCUAAUCUUCAUUCACAUCCUAGGGUUUCUGCAACUUUAUUCGCACCUAUCCUUCUCAUCCAAUCGCAUCCAUUCGCACUUCAUUCUGCCGAUGUCUUCCAAAACCUAAUGGAUCCUUCAGUCGUUCAAUCUGUCGUUCCAUCCAAGCCUAUAAAAUCCAAUGUUCCAUCAGGUUAAUCUAUUCAGCACACAUCACUAGCAGGUACGAUUCCUUAUUUUCCUCACAAAACCUAAUCCAAAAAAUUAUCCUCUGUCUGAAAUGGCGCUGCCAAAAUCUUAUCAAGAUGGAUUGAGAUUGCUUAGCGAACAAAACCUAAUUCAGAGCUAUGGAAGAUCUCUGAUUUUUCUAGCAGGUUCAUAACCUACCAGAACCACUGUGGCAUAAAUUGAAUGCAUCACAUUUCUCUACUCCACACUAUCUCAAAACUUGAAUCUCGAUUACUUGGUUCAACACUACGGCUGGUUGGGAAGUUCAUUUUGUAGCAAUUUGUGUGAUCCGUGACCCAUGUCCUUCUCUGAAUGGGAGCACGUUUCUGAUUGCGAAAUUGUGCAAAAAAAGGAUUACUUUUGAUCAAUUUGAGAAUAUAACAGUUAAUUUGAAGCCUAAAUUGAGCAUUCAUGAAAAAGUAUGAGCAAGGCGCAACAAAUUGUAUAAGAGUUGAGGGACUACUUGAACAGCGAGAUGGAAUUGAAAUUGUUGGAUUGGAUAAAACAGCAACGCAAUUAGGUCACGUUACGCACACCAUUCAAUUUUGCUAUAGAGAUCCCUGUAUUCUAGCUAAUGGGAGCUUUUUACAUGGAUAAUAAACCUAUCCUUAAAGAGUUAAAGUUGAUAGAAAAGUUUGCAUUUUUAUGGAAAAUUGCUUUGGUUAACUUUCUUCAUAAAAUGAGCAAGGGGAAGAGUUGUUUUUUUGUCAAUAGCAAAGAGAUUGUUGAUUUAUGCUAGAGAUUGUUGAUUUAUGCUCUUGCAGGUAUGUGUUUCUUUUUUCUUUAUUUAAUUCACAUACAUGCUUUCUUGAUGCAGUUCUCAACUUUAGGCCUUAUUGAAACACAUGGAUUUGUUAGAGACAGAGUAUAGACCAUAGAACCUGGCCCCUACAUUUCUACGUAAUGCCAAUGCCAAUUUUUAUUGAUUUGUUACUUAAACCCUCUGGAGAGGAUUUAAUGAAUUGGCCCCAUAGGUAUAUCUUAUCCAAGUAUGCUCAAAUUCUUUCUAGAAAUGAUCUCCAAGUUUUUGUUUUUAUUUUUUAUGUAAGCUUGGGAUUUAAGGGGAACUUGGCUAUUUACCAAAGUCUCUAUUGGAGCGAUCAAGAAUUGGAUGACUCAAAUCUAAGAACCAAGAAUCAAGAAGUUUUUUGUACUUAAAAGGACAAGAAUCUGAGUUUCAAUAAGCUAACGUCAUUUGGCAAUGAUCUAGAUGGCUUAAUUAGCCUUAAAAUUAUGUAAGUUUUGUCUCAAUCAUAUUAUGAGGAUGGUUGUAAAGCGUUUUGCAUUAUUUUUAUCUUAAGUAUUAGUCUCAAUACUUUUCCAAAUAUGGGUAAUCUUUCAAUGCACAAAUACAUCCUCAUAAAGGUGGAAAAAUGAACGAGUCGGUCAAAAGAAUAAUUUUAGAUGUGGUUCAAAAUGAUCAGGUUUGAGUUGGGCCAACAUACAAACACUUUGUUAAAUUCUUUUCUCUAAAAAUUUAGAAUAUUAUUUUUUUUUUAUAAAGAUUUGAGUGUAAUAUAGGUUAAAAAGGGUAAUUUUAAAUGUGGGUCAAAACUAUACUCUUUCAGCUUUUUUUAGGGGUGUGAAUUUCUUACACAACCUGAAAACACGACACGAACACGAAUUUUUUUGGGUUUGGGUUUACCCUAAAUGGGUUCGGGUCAUUUUCAGGUCGAACCCGCGAACCCGUUUAGCUUAACAGGUCAGGUUCGGGUUCGCGGGUUGAUCCGUUUAGUUUAUAAAUGUAAAAAUAUGAUGGAUUAUGUGAAGGGUCACACGGGAUCCGUUUACAUCCAUCCGGGUCAAAUGGGUUUUCGUAUAUAAACAAACAACCCGGCCAUUUUCUUUCCCUAUUCUUCAUAUUCUCACAGACGCCAAGGGCGAUUAGGGUUUUAUCAUUCUUUUCCAAUCAAACAAUCCAAGAUCCAAGGUAUAUGUUCAUCGAAUAAUAUUCGGAUUUCCUGUUAAUUUCUUCGAUUUAUUUGUAAUAAACAACUUCAUCUCAUCGUUCUUUUCUUCGAUCUUUGUUUAUAUAUCAUCUGAUAUGCUAUUUUGAUGUAAUCUGUGUUUGUAGGUUUUUAAUAUGACACAAAAUCCAUCAAGGUCAGGAUCAUGACCGGAGAAACAAGAACCUACAAGUGGAUGUCAAAUAAGUAACAAUACAUAGGCCUAAUCCACCUAAAAAUCAACCUAAUUCAAUCAGUCUAGACGGAGAGAAACGCCAGGAUUUCCAAAAAGGUUAAGAGAUCGACCAAUGUUAUUGUGGAAGAGAUUGUCGCGAGAUCUUUUGGCUGGAUAAAGAACAGAUGCUAGCAGUCUAAUCUAAUAUCUGUUGGGAUAUUUGUGUCAAGCCGUCUUUUUCUGUAUAUCAGCUUGCUAGGCCUUGUGGUUUAAUAUAGUUAUUUUGUUUGCUGGAAAAAAACAAGACUAGAGAGGUAGAUGUUUUUUAUUACUUUUAUCUUUGACUUAAAAGGAGCAACACUAAAAGGUCUUUGAAUCUCAUGAAUGUUAGAAGGUUUUGACUAAUUAUAUGUCAAACCAGAAAAAAGUAUUUUUUUUCAUUUAUUUAUCUUUUCGAUUUUGUUA